rnacentral:tRNA from 1 species
GGGGCCAUAGCUCAGUUGGGAGAGCGCCUGCUUUGCACGCAGGAGGUCACGGGUUCGAAUCCCGUUGGCUCCA